rnacentral:rRNA from 1 species
UCACCUUGGAGGUUCGAACGCCGCCACGGGACCUCCACCGGCCAGAUCCGGCGCCUCCCUCCCGGAUCCGUGCGCCCUGCACCUCCUCUACCCGAUCUGGCGCCGCCCAACCUGCCAUGACCUCCACCAUGGAGCUCCUGUAGCUCGUCCCCUGCCUCCUCUUCAUGUGCUCGAGGGAGACGCGCCUCCAGCGCAUCGAGCACAAGGCGCAACCGCGCCAAGGUCUACCCCGGCCACCUCUGCGUCCAGCCGGCCUAGCCCGGGUCCCUGCAGUUAUUUGUCAUUGGAUACUUUAGAAACAUUCUGUAAAUUGGUAUCAGUUGCACACUUUUUGUUUAUCUCCGUAUCUAUGAUGAUUACCCACUCCAAAGCAUCCCCGCGUUAAUCUGGAAUAAAAGGAGAAGAGCAGAACC